GACGGCAGGGAAGAGGGAGGAGGUCGCUCGCGCGCGCACACACGACGAAGCCCUUGUCCGACAAAUCGGUCGCGUAAAGGCGCGCUUUAAAAAGGGAGAAAGAAAGAGAGAAAGAGAGAAAGAGAGAGAGAAAGAGAGAGAGAGAGAGAAGGCUGGUCCGAAUGGCGGUUUCGCGGCCUCGCAGACGGUCAUUUGUCUCCUGCAACGCCUGCCUCGGUUCCGCGUUCCAUCUGCGUCACAAGUCAGUGCGUUCACCUUGCCUCGAGUUAUCAAAAUCGGAUCCCCGAUGCGAUAGCCCGUCCACAAGCGUGUAUUCUUGGACCUCGAUCGUACAGUUGGCCGCAAAAAUAAUUCGAGGCGAAAAAACACACAACGGGCGAUUGCAACUUCGCAAGUUUGCAACUUCCUCGGCAAUUAUCCGAGCGCCGCGCAUGCGAUUCGUAUACGAAAAUAAAAGGGAAGAGGCGCGAGAGCCACGCUCGACGAGUUUUACCUGCACGAGACGAUGCUGAAUACACGCCGGCAUCCAGCACGCACGAUCUCCUUGCAAUCGCGAACAGUUUCGUACGGCGUGGAGCGUCCUCGUCCUUCCAGGAUAACAGGACGAUGCCACCGUGGUGAGGAGAAGAAACGACGAUGCCAGAAAUCGCGGACCGUGACUGGUUCCGCUUAAAGCCUCGUUCACAUCCCACGGACUACUCGCGUGCCUUCAUCGGUCAUCCAGGGGAAAAAUCAGGACUGGAGGGUCUUGGUGAGGAACUUGCAGUGGACGCGGUAUUGGUCUCCUCCACGUCCAUCAUCAUUCAUACCGACAAUGACGGAUCAAUGCGAACGUUGGAAAUUAACGAAGAAUUAUUUUAACGAGAAUAGCAAAAUAGGAAUUAAAAGGGAUAUUAUAUGGAGAAUAAGUGAUUUUGUCAGACCCGCCAGUCUCUAAAUGUCCAAUUCCACGGGGGCAGAAACCAUAAAAUCGGGAAGCUUGAUAAAGGGGUUGGGGGUUGGUUUCAUGCGCCCGUCCACGAGCGCGGACUUACGGAAAACAACUGACAAAUGAUGUUACCCCCACCGUAGAUAACCACUAUUCGGCGCCUCUAACCCUGCGCCGCAAACACCUGCCGCGCAGGAACGUUAUCAUCGCGCAGGCGCUGUACCUUUAAAAUAUACUUUUUAAACUUUUAUAUAACUGAAAAAAUUUUGCUAUUUGAUAUUAUGUAUACAUAAUACAAAUUGUAAAUUAAAAAUUUCAAUUUGGAAAUUACUCAUAUAUAUAUAUAUAUAUUAUAUAUAUAGGAAAGUGAAAAUGCAAUCGCAUAUUUUCUUUUUAUUUUUAUUUAAUUCUUUUUAAACAUCCGAAAUAGUUUUUUCUUUUGUUGAAUGAUAAUGUCGAGCAAAAGUUUCUCCUACGAGUAAUGGAAACACAAGAGAAGCUUCUGCAUAUAUCUAAAAUAUUAAUGAAUAUUAAUUUAAUCUAUUUUAUUCAUUUUGAAUAAUAUGUUUCACAAAAAUAUUCUUACUUUAACUGGUUUUGCAUCCAUUCGAAUUUUACCCCAUGAAAUAGCUUCAUCUGGACGAGCACCGCUAUCACUCCCAUCAAAUUCUGAAGCUGUAUUAAUAAACACAGAAUAAUCAGCACCAUUUCUCUAAAAAAUAAAUUAUUUAUUUUAAAUCAGUUCAUUAUCACAGUUUUUUUAUAUUUAUUUUUUUUUUUCAUUACCAUAAGAUUUGCAUUACAAAUGUGAUGUUUUACAACACCACCUCCAAUAAUAAUCAUGCCACUUUUCACUGCUUUCAUAGCCAUUGUAUUUAAUCUCUUAAGGUCUGUAAUAUAAUUAGCAUUUAAAUAUAUAAAUAAUAUUUAUUUAAUGAAUAAAAUAAAUCAUAAAUUAUUAUAUAUUAAAAAAAAAUAAAUCAUAUAUAAAAA